CAGCAGCCGCGGGAAUACGUAGGGUGCGAGCGUUGAUCGGAAUUACUGGGCGUAAAGCGUGCGCAGGCGGUUCGUUAAGACAGAUGUGAAAUCCCCGGGCUUAACCUGGGAACUGCAUUUGUGACUGACGGGCUAGAGUAUGGCAGAGGGGGGUAGAAUUCCACGUGUAGCAGUGAAAUGCGUAGAGAUGUGGAGGAAUACCGAUGGCGAAGGCAGCCCCCUGGGCCAAUACUGACGCUCAUGCACGAAAGCGUGGGGAGCAAACAGGAUUAGAUACCCCCGUAGUCCCUGUCUCUUAUAC
rnacentral:rRNA from 1 species